rnacentral:ncRNA from 1 species
GGAAACUCAUUGAUAAAGAGAGUAGUUUGAUGGCGUUUUUUAGCGAGCUGAUGGUGGUGGAAGAUCAGUAAACAAAAUUAGACGAACCGCACUUUGUAGAGGAUUGCUUGAAUAUAGUAGGGCAGUAAGUAAGUCUACUUUACAGACAAGAGGGGAUAUAAAUCUUUAUAUCAAUAAGAGUGGUACCGCGGAUAAUUCGUCUCUUGG